rnacentral:misc_RNA from 1 species
GAUGAAGAACGCAGCGAAAUGCGAUAAGUAAUGUGAAUUGCAGAAUUCAGUGAAUCAUCGAAUCUUUGAACGCACAUUGCGCCCAUUAGUAUUCUAGUGGGCAUGCCUGUUCGAGCGUCAUUAAGUCCACUUAAGCCCUGCUUAGUGUUGGGAGACUGCUCCAGCGGUGCUACCCUGUAGCUACCCUGCAGCUCCUCAAAGACACCGGCGGAGUUGUGGUAUCCUCUGAGCUUAGUAACUUGUUCUAGCUUUCGAGUACACCACUUCCCCUGCCGUAAAACCCUUAAUUUUUAAUGGUUGACCUCGGAUCAGGUAGGAAUACCCGCUGAACUUAAGCAUAUCAAUAAGCGGAGGA